rnacentral:rRNA from 1 species
GACAGAGGGUGCGAACGUUGUUCGGAAUUACUGGGCGUAAAGCGCGUGUAGGCGGCAGCGUAAGUCGGGCGUGAAAUCCCACGGCUCAACCGUGGAAGUGCACUCGAAACUGCGCAGCUAGAGUCCUGGAGAGGAAGGUGGAAUGCUUGGUGUAGAGGUGAAAUUCGUAGAUAUUCGGAAGAACACCAGUGGCGAAGGCGGCUCACUGGACUGGUAUUGACGCUGAGGUGCGAAAGCGUGGGGAGCAAACAGG